UGAUUAAGCCCAAAGUCCCGGCAUGC
rnacentral:piRNA from 1 species